rnacentral:rRNA from 1 species
AUUGAACGCUGGCGGAAUGCUUUACACAUGCAAGUCGAACGGUAGAGGGGGCAAUCCUGGUGGCGAGUGGCGAACGGGUGAGUAAUAUAUCGGAACGUGCCCAGUCGUGGGGAUAACGUAGCGAAAGCUACGCUAAUACCGCAUACGAUCUAUGGAUGAAAGCGGGGGAUCGCAAGACCUCGCGCGAUUGGAGCGGCCGAUAUCAGAUUAGGUAGUUGGUGAGGUAAAGGCUCACCAAGCCGACGAUCUGUAGCUGGUCUGAGAGGACGACCAGCCACACUGGGACUGAGACACGGCCCAGACUCCUACGGGAGGCAGCAGUGGGGAAUUUUGGACAAUGGGCGCAAGCCUGAUCCAGCAAUGCCGCGUGCAGGAUGAAGGCCUUCGGUUGUAAACUGCUUUGUACGGUAACGAACGGUGAGCUCUAAUACAGUUUGCUAAUGACGGUACCGUAAGAAUAAGACACCGGCUAACUACGUA